GAUGCUGGAACUUGUGCUUGUGUGUUGGUGGCGAACGGAUGGGUGAGUAAUGAGUAAGCUGCCCGUGAUCCUGCUUGAGACACCUACCGGAGCAGGUAACUAAGACCGAAUACUUGCUUCCUUCGCCUGAAGGAAGCUGGAAUUAUUCAGUUUCUGUCACUUGAGGAUGGGCCUGCGGCGCAUUAGCUAGUUGGUGAGGUAACGGCUCACCAAGGCGACCAUCCGUAGCCGACCUGAGAGGGUGAUCGGCCACACUGGGACUGAGACACGGCCCAGACUCCUACAGGAGGCAACAUUAGGGAAUCUUCCGCAAUGGGCGAAAGCAGGAGGGGAGCAAUGCAUCGUGAGUGAUGAAUGUUUUCGGAUCGUAAAGCUCUGUUGCCAGGGAAGAACGUCCUUGAGAGUAACUGCUCAAGGAGUGACGGUACCUGAGAAGAAAGCCCCGGCUAACUACGUGCCAGCAGCCGCGGUAAUACGUAGGGGGCAAGCGUUGUCCGGAAUUAUUGGGCGUA
rnacentral:rRNA from 1 species